rnacentral:rRNA from 1 species
UACGUAGGGUGCGAGCGUUGUCCGGAAUUAUUGGGCGUAAAGAGCUUGUAGGCGGUCUGUCGCGUCUGCUGUGAAAAUCCGGGGCUCAACCCCGGACUUGCAGUGGGUACGGGCAGACUAGAGUGUGGUAGGGGAGACUGGAAUUCCUGGUGUAGCGGUGAAAUGCGCAGAUAUCAGGAGGAACACCAACAGCGAAGGCAGCACUCUGGGCCGGUACUGACGCUGAGGAGCGAAAGCAUGGGGAGCGAACAGG